rnacentral:rRNA from 1 species
UGGGGGAUAUUGCACAAUGGGCGAAAGCCUGAUGCAGCGACGCCGCGUGGGGGAUGAAGGCCUUCGGGUUGUAAACUUCUUUUGCUCUGAACAAGGCGCACCAUGGGGUGUGUUGAGUGUAGGGGUUCAUUAGCGCCGGCUAACUACGUGCCAGCAGCCGCGGUAAUACGUAGGGCGCGAGCGUUGUCCGGAAUUAUUGGGCGUAAAGGGCUUGUAGGUGGCUGGUUGCGUCUGUCGUGAAAGCUCAUGGCUUAACUGUGGGUUUGCGGUGGGUACGGGCUGGCUUGAGUGCAGUAGGGGAGGCUGGAAUUCCUGGUGUAGCGGUGGAAUGCGCAGAUAUCAGGAGGAAUACCGGUGGCGAAGGCGGGUCUCUGGGCUGUUACUGACACUGAGGAGCGAAAGCAUGGGGAGCGAACAGG